CCUACGGGAGACAGCAGUAGGGAAUGUUGCGCAAUGGGGGAAACCCUGACGCAGCAACGCCGCGUGAUCGAUGAAGGCCUUCGGGGUGUAAAGAUCUGUCAGUGGGGACGAAACCUGACGGUACCCACAGAGGAAGCACCGGCUAACUCCGUGCCAGCAGCCGCGGUAAUACGGGGGGUGCAAGCGUUGUCCGGAAGCAUGGGGCGUAAAGAGUUCGUAGGUGGCACGUUAAGUCGGGUGUUAAAGGCGGAAGCUCAACUUCCGUAGGGCACUGGAUACUGGCGAGCUUGACUGCGGUAGAGGUAAAGGGACUUCCUGGUGUAGCGGUGCAAUGCGUAGAUAUCAGGCGGACCAUCGGUGGCGUACGCGCUUUACUGGGCCGUAAUUGACACUGAGGAACGAAAGCCGGGGUAGCAAAUCGGAUUAGAUACCCUAGUAGUC
rnacentral:rRNA from 1 species